ACAAGAUAAAAAAGAAGUAACUUAAUAUUAUAAAUUGCAUGUCUUUAUAUAAUUUCAAAAACAGCUCAACGAAAAUUAGAUGUUUCCUGCACUGCGUAUCGUAAAAUAUGUUACUUCAUGGCGAAUCACGACCUAUAACAAUAUCGAAUUCUCCUCUGAAAAUUUUUAUGAGUACUUGGAAAGCAUUUUGUGUAUGUUUAAUUAAUUAAUAAACAACAAUGAUCAAUACUCGACUCAUUUUUAAGAUAAUGUUUUAUUAAAUCGGUUAUGUAGUUUAAUGAACUAUUCGACAUGAAAUGCCGAAGAUUUGAAUAGUUUUUACAGUUAAGGAUACAUGUAACAAUCAAUAAUAUCCCAGUAACUACUUUUGUUAAUAAAUGAUAUACAUGAUGGCUAGUAGAGAAACAUCAAUUAAUUCAAAAAAUUCGGACGAUCACAGUGUGGAGACAUUGGCAGAAGUCUUCCGAUGUUUCAUUUGUAUGGAGAAGCUGAGAGAUGCACAUCUUUGUCCUCAUUGCAGUAAAUUAUGUUGUUACACAUGUAUUAGACGGUGGCUAACAGAACAACGCUCUCAAUGUCCUCAUUGUAGAGCUUCUUUACAUUUGCAUGAGUUAGUAAAUUGUCGAUGGGUUGAAGAAGUGACACAACAGCUGGAUACUCUUCAAGCUGUUGGUAUCUCAAACUCUAGACAUGAUGACUCAAAUAGGGAUAGGUGUACCGUACAUCAUGAAAAGCUAUCUGUUUAUUGUUGGACCUGUCGUAGAUGUAUAUGUCAUCAGUGUGCUUUGUGGGGUGGUACCCAUUCAGGGCACACUUUUAAGCCAUUAGAAGAAGUAUAUGAACAACAUGUUACACAAAUAAAAGCAGAAGUUGGGCAGUUGAAAAGAAGGUUAAUGGAAUUGAUUAGCCUAGUACAAGAAGUGGAACGUAAUGUUGAAUCAGUAAGAGCUGCAAAGGAUGAAAGGGUCAGAGAAAUUAGAGGUGCUGUAGAAUUGAUAAUAGCACGUUUGGAUUCUCAGCUGAAAGCUAAAUUAUUAACAUUAAUGGGUCAAAAGAAUUCUUUAACAUUAGAAACAGAACAGUUAGAAGCUUUAUUGCAAGAAGUGGAACAUCAGUUACAUACAUGUACUCGUUCUGAACUUAUAAUCAAAAGUUCAGAACUUUCAAGGAUGAUACAUCAAGUACGAAAAAAACCAAUGACAAGUUUUGUCACUGCCCCUGUACCAGCUGAUUUUCACAGUGAAAUUGUACCAGGAUAUGAUAGUGCUACAUUUGCAAUGCAAAAUUUUACACAACUGCAAUUAAAAGCAGAUCCAGUAUAUUCUGCACCCUUGCAUGUUAAUGGAUUGUGUUGGAGAUUGAAAGUAUAUCCUGAUGGAAAUGGUGUUGUACGUGGAAAUUAUUUAUCGGUUUUUUUAGAAUUAAGUGCUGGUUUGCCAGAAACAUCAAAAUACGAAUAUCGAGUUGAAAUGAUACAUCAAGGAUCUCGUGAUACAAGUAAGAACAUCGUACGAGAAUUUGCUUCUGACUUUGAAAUCGGUGAAUGUUGGGGUUAUAAUAGAUUUUUUAGAUUAGAUUUACUUGCAACUGAAGGAUAUUUAAAUACAGAAUUGGAUACUCUUAUAUUAAGGUUUCAGGUACGUCCACCGACGUUCUAUCAACGUUGCAGAGACCAACAAUGGUAUAUUAGUCAAUUAAUUACCGUUCAAAAUCAAUAUGCUACUCAAAUCAAUGAACUCAAAGAGAGGCUAGCAAUAGAAAUAUCACGAAAUGCAAUGGCAGCAACCAGAGUACCUAGUGGAGCCACAUUAUGUGGAUCUGCGUCAAACAUAGCACCUGUGAUGAUGCAACAACAAUCACAAGCUGCUGGAGAUCCUUUAGUCAAUACUAACACUACCCGUUCUGUUGAAACAUAUCCAAACGGUACAUGUACAAGUAGAUCAGUGCAGAAUGUGCUUCCUGGAGGAAGUAAUAACAACGCCUUAGUGGGUGAUCAACUAAUGCCUAUGUGUGAAAUAGGAGAACUCUCUAAUAUGCGUCCUCUUGGCUCCACUUCAACAUUAUCGUCCAUUUCAUCUAAAACAAGUUUAAAGCAACAUAGAAUAAAUAAUUUAAGCGUCGUCGAAGCUGAGUCGCCCAAUUUACACAGUACAAAUGAUGGUUCAUCUGGAGAUUGUCCGGCAACCGAUGCCCACUCUCCAUCCCCGUCUUAUUCGUCUCCGACAGUACUUAAUCAACAACCAUUGAAUCUUUUAUCUAGUAGCAGCAGUAGUGAUAGUGGAGAAUUAAGCGAACACGAUAUAUAUUUGGAUGAAUGCGAACAUAAUGAACCGCAUUUAACACUUUUAGAUGAUAAUUCUAACGAUGAAAACGAUGUAGACGAUGAAACUAUGUCAGGCGCAAGUUCAAACAGAGGUUCUGUAGGGGAUGUACAGAGAAUCAGACAAAGAGAAAACAAGUUAGAUAAAGGUGAGAAUGAUGUAGAAGUUGCAGAAUCAUUAACACUGUGGAUUCAGAAUAAACAGCGCACAAAGCAACAAAGUAAUCGAGAUAGUACAGGAGACACUUGCAGAUUGCGCGGCAAUGAUAGUUUAGAAGAUGAAAUUAUGCUACUACAUUUAUUCGAAAUGCAAGAUCGGAAUUCUGCCUGGCCUCCUUUGUGCUUUAAUAACCAACAUGUGGAUGAUACUUGUGAUGCACGGGCAUCUUUGACAAAUUUACAUCAUAAUUCCAGCCCUUUACACUAUAAUGCUACACUGCCAACUCAUGGAUCAUCAACAUUUUCACACAAGCAUCGUGAACUUGAUUCAGUGUGCAACGAACAAUUUUCUGAUAAACGAUCAACGUGUCCUUCGCACCUUUGCCAACCUCAAAUGAUGUGCAAUGGUAGAUCCAAACUAAGUCAAUUAUCUAACAUUUGUCAACAAGAUGUUUCCGGAUUAAUAGCUUGCGGGAGUCAGACAAGAUCUGAACCUGCGACUCGCUCAAAUUCAAUAGACUGCGAAAAAGAUCUUCCAAAAAUAUCUGUAGCUAAUAAGAUGAAUCACGAAGUAGAAACUACUAGAUCAGAUUUGAUAGUGCCAAGUGUAGUGUUGGACAGCAACAAAAUUGUAUCAAAACAUUUAUUGUCGCGGAGACAGUCUUCGCCGUCGUCGUCCAGUAACGUUAGUAUUGUAAAUAACGAAAAUAGUAAGAUAUUUGAAUUCGAACAAUUACUUGAAACUAUUCAAUUAUCUCCAAUAUCUCAGAAAGACACUGCCAGCUGUUUUAAUAAAUUAAGGAAAAAUAUUUCAUCUGAUGGAAAAAAUAGCGGUUGCACUGUUACAAAUAUUAAAUCUACUGCCCUUUCGUUAGGACCGGAUGUUCCAUCGUCGUCUACAAGUAAUGCAACAGAUGCUAUACCCAGUCCCAACAAUUAUAGCUGGGCUCCUGCACUAUAUCAGCACAAGCAUAGUCAGAAGAACAUUUUAGAGGCUACCAUGCAGAUGUCUUCUAAUGAUACUUCCAAUAAAUGCACUGCCGAAAAGUCAUUAGAAGAAACUAAUUCUUGAAAUCCCUUUUAAAUUACAUCCGUUGUAUUUAACAUUACAAAUAUACUGUGAUUUUUAUUUAUCUAUACAUUAAUAUUAUUAAAGACGAUAGAAAAGUAGUAAAAAUAUUAAAAAUUAGACUUCAUUUCUAAAUCUAAUAACAUGCUUAAAAAGCAGACACGAAAGAAAAUAUGAUAAAUAUCAUUCCAUAUUAAGUAGUUCAAUUUACAUUAUUUAUCAUUAUUUAUUAUAUGCGUGUAUAUUACACUUUCAAAAAAAAUCAAGUUUAUUUAGACUAAAAUAUUAAUAUAUUGUAUAGUAUCUAAAUACUCAAUGUUUUAUUUUUUCAAUGGUUAUGGUAUUACAAGUAUAGUGACAACAAAUUUUGUAUUGUUCUUAUGUGGUUGAUUGCAAAUAUACCUACAUAAAAUGAGCACAGCCCAUGACAGAAAAA
rnacentral:misc_RNA from 1 species